rnacentral:ncRNA from 1 species
AGACAAACGAUGACGGAACCAAGCAUAUAGGCGAAACGUACAGAGAGCCGGUGGAAGGUGCGAACCGGACGUAGACGCUAUGCGGAGCACUCCCGAGUUGCUGCCUCGAACGUUCAAGUAGUUGCAGCCGGCUAGACGCCGUUACCCAUCUCGGUCUGUCCUUAAGCUUUAAGCAGACCUAUGAAGGCCGUAUGCGCGAGCACGCGGCGAAUUAGGGUGGUACCACGAGAAUCAGCUCCUCGUCCCUUGU